AAUAUUGCACAAUGGGGGAAACCCUGAUGCAGCAACGCCGCGUGGAGGACGAAGGUUUUCGGAUUGUAAACUCCUGUCAUUUGGGAAGAUAAUGACGGUACCAAAUGAGGAAGCCACGGCUAACUACGUGCCAGCAGCCGCGGUAACACGUAGGUGGCAAGCGUUGUCCGGAAUUACUGGGCGUAAAGGGCGUGUAGGCGGCCAUUCAAGUCAGCUGUGAAAUCCCAAGGCUUAACCUUGGGCUUGCAGUUGAAACUGAGUGGCUUGAGUGUCGGAGAGGAAAGCGGAAUUCCUAGUGUAGCGGUGAAAUGCGUAGAUAUUAGGAGGAACACCAGUGGCGAAGGCGGCUUUCUGGACGAUAAUUGACGCUGAGGCGCGAAAGCGUGGGGAGCAAAC
rnacentral:rRNA from 1 species